UGGUUUGAAGCUCAGUGGUAGAGCGCUAGCCUAGUAUGUAUGAGGCCCUGGGUUUGAUUCUCAGCACUGCAG
rnacentral:tRNA from 1 species